CACUCCCCCAUCUCUCCAUCACUUCUGAAUUAUUAACAGUGGCACAGCGAUACCAUGGUUGGAAAGCAGCAGCUCGACAACAGCUAUGCAGAUGUUCACCCCUCAUCUAUUUGAUGGUGGGAACACACAGGACCAGCUGUGGUAAUCCUGGAAAAGCUUUGGAGCUCCUCUGAAGCAGACGGAUACUGUUGGAUCAAGUGACCAGAAGCACGGUGCAUACCCCGCACAGAUCCUCCUCCUGGCCACACCUCCAGCUUUUCAGACCUGUGCGUACCUCCAGCAGUCAGAGCUUAGGGAGGAAAGGUGAGGCUGAGAAGGGCAGCUGAAGAGCACAAAAGGGGAUUGCAGCCAAGUUAGCACAGAGAUGUGGCUCCUGCAUAUUGCCCCCAGCAGGACUCUGUCCACUAGGAAAAAUGUCACCCCUGUGAGUUGUAACAACUUGCAAUAAAGCAAUUGUACAUUCAUUUCAAAAUGCAACGAUUUAUAAACUGUGAAUUUAUAAUAACUUAUCAUUCUCCCGUAUUACUCUGUACAAGAAUAUUGCAUUUGUUUCACCACAUUACAAACCAUUUUGCAUUUGAUUCAGAAGCAGCACAUAACCUCCUCACAGGUUACUGCUCCCCCUCAGCCACGAAUCACUCCA